GAGUUUGAUCUUGGCUCAGAUUGAACGCUGGCGGCAGGCCUAACACAUGCAAGUCGAACGGCAGCACGGGAGCUUGCUCCUGGUGGCGAGUGGCGAACGGGUGAGUAAUGCAUCGGAACGUAUCCUGGAGUGGGGGAUAACGUAGCGAAAGUUACGCUAAUACCGCAUAUUCUGUGAGCAGGAAAGCGGGGGACCUUCGGGCCUCGCGCUCUUGGAGCGGCCGAUGUCGGAUUAGCUAGUUGGUGAGGUAAAGGCUCACCAAGGCGACGAUCCGUAGCAGGUCUGAGAGGAUGAUCUGCCACACUGGAACUGAGACACGGUCCAGACUCCUACGGGAGGUAGCAGUGGGGAAUUUUGGACAAUGGGGGCAACCCUGAUCCAGCCAUGCCGCGUGAGUGAAGAAGGCCUUCGG
rnacentral:rRNA from 1 species